AUGGCACUGAGGACAAUCUCUGAGAAGACCCUUGAACGUCUCCCACGUUUAAUAUAGAUUUUCUCCCUCUUUCUGCAUGAAUGGCAUUAUCUCCUUUAUGAGUCU